GCGUGAGGACGGCCUCCCCCAUCAUGGGCAUCGCGUUCGGGACGGCCCGG
rnacentral:ncRNA from 1 species